rnacentral:sRNA from 1 species
AGACACCACGCACACCCUCCGGGUCUGCGCGCGCCGUCCGCGCCCAGCUGACGACGGCUCGCUACGUGUGGUCAGUC